rnacentral:rRNA from 1 species
AGGGGGCAAGCGUUGUCCGGAAUUAUUGGGCGUAAAGCGCGCGCAGGCGGUCUUUUAAGUCUGAUGUGAAAUCUUGUGGCUUAACCACAAGCGGUCAUUGGAAACUGAAGGACUUGAGUGCAGAAGAGGAGAGUGGAAUUCCAUGUGGAGCGGUGAAAUGCGUAGAGAUAUGGAGGAACACCAGUGGCGAAGGCGACUCUCUGGUCUGUAACUGACGCUGAGGCGCGAAAGCGUGGGUAGCGA